GACAGAGGUGCCGAGCGUUAGGCGGAAUCACUGGGCUUAAAGCGUGUGUAGGCGGAUCGUUAAGUACCUUGUGAAAUCCCACGACUUAACCGUGGAACUGCUUGGUAUACUGGCGAUCUUGAGCCACUUAGGGGCUACCGGAACAAAUGGUGGAGCGGUGAAAUGCGUAGAUAUCAUUUGGAACGCCAAUGGUGAAAACAGGUAGCUGGGAGUGUGCUGACGCUGAGACACGAAAGCCAGGGGAGCAAACGGG
rnacentral:rRNA from 1 species